AGCAGCCGCGGUAAUUCCAGCUCCAAUAGCGUAUAUUAAAGUUGUUGCAGUUAAAAAGCUCGUAGUUGAAUUUCGGGGUCAGUUCGCUGGUCGUGCCUUCGGUAUGUACUGGUGUUACUGACUCCUACCUUCUGACGAACCGUCAUGUCAUUAAUUUGGUGUGGCGGGAAAUCAGGACUGUUACUUUGAAAAAAUUAGAGUGUUUAAAGCAGGCUCGCGCUUGAAUACAUUAGCAUGGAAUAAUGAAAUAGGACGUUCGAUCCUAUUUUGUUGGUUUCUAGGAUUGACGUAAUGAUUAAUAGGGAUAGUUGGGGGCAUUAGUAUUCAAUUGUCAGAGGUGAAAUUCUUGGAUUUAUUGAAGACUAACUACUGCGAAAGCAUUUGCCAAGGAUGUUUUCAUUAAUCAAGAACGAAAGUUAGGGGAUCGAAGACGAUCAGAUACCGUCGUAG
rnacentral:rRNA from 1 species